AACAAUUUUAACCACUGCCACUGUAAAGACGGGUUUGUUCCUCCUAACUGCCAACCAAAGAAAGGAGAAUUUGGAAGUAUCGAUGAUGGACACGAGAUUAAAACUGCUAAAAGUUACUUGGAGGAAACAUCUCCCACUCUUCCAAAACACCGAUUUCAACUCAUUUUCUACAUUUCUGUACCUGUGCUCAUCAUUACUGCUGCUUUUUUAGUAAAGUGGAAGAAAAUAAAAGAGCAAUGCUACAGAGGGGAAACUGAAAGUGAGAGAUCUGUGUCAGAAGAAAGCAGCCGUAGCAGCAAGUCAUCCUCCAGUGAAAGUAACAGUCUCUGACAACCUUGGCCUGGAGAGAGGAUAGUACCAAAUAAAUC